rnacentral:rRNA from 1 species
AUGACUAUUGACACAGAGAUGAUGGUGGGGCCUGCCCAUUAUCCCACAAUGCAGGAGAGAGCAGCGAAGGUGAUGAGGUAUAGGGAGAAGAGGAAGAGGCGGCGCUAUGACAAGCAAAUCCGAUACGAGUCCAGAAAAGCUUACGCUGAGCUCCGGCCACGGGUAAACGGCCGCUUUGUCAAGGUACCCGAAGCCAUGGCGUCGCCAUCAUCUCCAGCUUUGCCCUAUGAUCCUAGUAAACUUCACCUCGGAUGGUUCCGGUAA